AUUGAACGCUGGCGGAAUGCUUUACACAUGCAAGUCGAGCGGCAGCGCGGGGGCAACCCUGGCGGCGAGCGGCGAACGGGUGAGUAACACAUCGGAACGUACCCAGUUGUGGGGGAUAGCCCGGCGAAAGCCGGAUUAAUACCGCAUACGACCUGAGGGUGAAAGGGGGGGAUCGCAAGACCUCUCGCAGUUGGAGCGGCCGAUGGCGGAUUAGCUAGUUGGGGAGGUAAAGGCUCACCAAGGCGACGAUCCGUAGAUGGUCUGAGAGGACGACCAGCCAGACUGGAACUGAGACACGGUCCAGACUCCUACGGGAGGCAGCAGUGGGGAAUUUUGGACAAUGGGGGCAACCCUGAUCCAGCCAUUCCGCGUGAGUGAAGAAGGCCUUCGGGUUGUAAAGCUCUUUCGGCAGGAACGAAACGGUGGAGGCUAAUACCUUUCAUCAAUGACGGUACCUGAAGAAGAAGCACCGGCUAACUACGUGCCAGCCGCCGCGGUAA
rnacentral:rRNA from 1 species